UGACAUGUAAAACAAGCUAUUUAAAAUUAAAAUUAAAAUUAAAAAUUAAAAAUAGAAUAUCCUAAAGUAUGAACAUUUCCUGUGGAAAUGCUUUCAGAACAUGUAUGACCAUGGCCUGGGUCUAGUGUGUACCAGCAGAUGCAGAGCAAGGGGCUCACAGCUCCAUCUGUGUCUCUGAGACUGUCACGCUAACAACAUUUCCUCAAGGAUCAUAAACUCUCCUGUGUGGCUGAAGUUCUUUGUAGUGAUAGUUCAUAAACUUUCCUGUGUGGCUGGA